rnacentral:tRNA from 1 species
GGCAUUAUAGCCUAGUGGUAUGUUGUUGGCGGGAAAAGGCUUAUGACCAUUAGGUCAUGGGUUCGAUUCCAACAAAUGGGG